UCCCGGGUAGCUCAAUGGUAGAGCAUUCGGCUGUUAACCGAAGGGUUGCCGGUUCGAGCCCGGCCCCGGGAGCCA
rnacentral:tRNA from 1 species